GUGGGAAAUGCAUGUAUUGGAUUUAAUGCAUUGAGUCAGAGAGAUGGUUUGGAAUCUUUUUGUUCUAAUGGUGUUACAAUGGGGUUGUUUCUUUUCAUCUGAAAUGUGACCUUGAAAGAACCUUCCAGUUCCAUUGUGUAAUUGUUCUCUCCUUUUAUUUCAGUACUGAUAGUGAUGACCCUACAUUCACACCAAGGCGGCCAGGCACAACUACACAGGCUGCAGCUACAAAGAGCCAGCCAAGCACAUCUGCACCUGCAGCAGCACCUCAGCUUCCCCCAAGGAGAACACCUACAUCAAGGAGAACUCUUACCAAGUGCGCAGAGAGUCUACAGGGAGCAUUCAGAACCCCACUCGAAGGCGCUCCAGAUCACGCUCUCCUCUAGGGAUGUAACGAUAUCAAAAUCUCACGCAUAAGUGUUGUUCGACGGCUGUGCUGCAACAUCAAUAAACAAGCCAAAAAGAAUGGAAGACAAGCCACAUACCUGUGCCUAUUGCACCUUUGGACCCAGCAAACCCUGCAAACAGGCCUUCAGAUGUGAGGAGGUA
ensembl:lncRNA